GACGGGGCGGGGCGGAGGACCAGGUAGAUGGGGCGCGCCAUGUUGCCGUACGGCACCGGCCUGCUCCGCGGCGAGGCGUGGAGCUCUUUGCACCAGGAGCUUGCCGAAGCCGCUCGGCCAAUCAGAAACUCCAGCCUCAGACCUGCCCCACAACCCCAAGCCAUCGCGUGGAGUCGCAUCGGGUAAGACCGGUCCCUCCACCCUAGGAGGGUAAGGAAUCUCCUGCAGGUAGCUAAGGAGCUGAUGUCUCUAUGGCUGUGCAGGGCUCCAGGGAACGAAAUAAAAGAUAUGCUUUUCCUGCCCUGGGUUGGUGUAAGCCUUGCACCGCCUUCUCUGCUCUCCCUCCGGCCCCUGGAGUUCCACCGCCUGGCUGCCUACGCUGGCCCUUCCCUUCCUUCGAGAGGAGGCGUGCACCUCGAGGCUGUCCAGCCGGGCCUCCUGGGCCAGGUGCACACACACACGAACACACGCAUACAAAUGAGCACAGCAUGAUGCUGGAGUGAGCUAUUGUUUUUAUUGUCGUCGGCGACACGCAUCUCAGACUGCACCACUGUCGUUAUGACCGAGCCCCCUGGUGCGAACCGUGGGCCCCCUGUUUGUCCCGGAGUCGUCUUGACCGAGCCGCGGAGAAAAGGAAGAGGGGGAAACCACUGUGAUGCCCGCCCGGCCCAGGGUGGGGAGGCAAGGUCCGCAGGUGUUGAUGAGGAAGCCUGAACGUCAACACUCUGCGCGGAGACUUCGGCUCUGCAGCCUUCCUUCCACGGUGGUGGGCAUCUUGCCAAUUUGCAGGACCAAGAAAGAAGCCCAGCUGCUCUCAGAGGACCCGAACUUCAAUUUUAAACCCACCUCCUCUCAUUGUGUCCGGCCUUCUGGGCUUACAGCAUUUCAAUAGGAGCGGGGUGGGGUGGGGUGGGGUAGCUCUCCAAUGGCUGACCGGACUCUUAAGAGAUGAUUUAAUUUUCUUAUCCUUGGGUUUCUCAAAAUGGGUUUCCCUGAAAUAAAGGUUCCCCCAUCUUUUCACAAUUAUUUAUAUUCCCUUUUACGCGUGUGCCAGUGUAAGUCUCUACACAACAUGAGUGCAAGUGCCUGUGAAAGCCUUUAAGAGCACUUGUUGCUCACAACCAACUGUAAUCCCAGUUCCAGGAAAUCCAAUAGGCUUGUGUGUGGUGAACAUACGAGCAUCCAGGCAAAUCAUCCAUACACGUAAAGUAAAAUAAAUGUAUUGUUAAAGUUA
rnacentral:lncRNA from 1 species